rnacentral:lncRNA from 10 species
AUCUGGUCCCGGCACGCCUCGCGCAGGUUGCGCAUCCAGCGCUGGAUGCCGCGGCGGUUUAGGUAGAGCACCAUGAGGAAGAUGAGGCCGAUGAGUGCCAGCACCAGCCCGAAGAACACGUAGGAGGCUUCCAGCUCCGGGCCGGCGGCCUCCGCCUCCUCUCCGCGAGCGUCGGCGCCGCUGUCCGCGCAGCGAAGCCGCGCCCCGUCCAGGUCCAGUAGCGGCCGGUCUAGCAGCGCCCGCGGGGCGGCGCAGCGCAGGCGCCGCGAGUCGGGCACGCGCUCCGUGGCGUUGCGCAGCCAGGCCAGCAGGGGGCGUGCGGCACAGCCGCAGCGCAGGGGGUUGUCGGCGAGCAGCAGGCGCGGCCCGGGGAGGCCGCCAUCGCGCUCCAGCGCGCGCAGCUCGUCGGGGUCCAGGCCGGCCAGCGCGUUGAGGCGCACGUCCAGCUGCUCCAGGCGCGCCAGGCGCAGGGCGGCUGGCGGCAGACGGCUCAGCGCGUUGCCCGCUAGGCCCAGCAGGCGAAGCUCGGCCAGCGGUGCCAGCGCAGCGUCCAGCGCGGCCAGCAGCGCGGGGCCGCCGCGCACCAGCGCGUGGUUGAGCUGCAGCGAGCGCAGCGCGGGCAGCCCGCGGAAGGCGCCGCCGCCCAGGGCGCGCAGCGGGUUGUGGCUGAGGUCGAGCGCCGCCAGGCUGGGCAGCCCGUCGAAGGCGCCGUCCUCCACCACCUCGAUGUGGUUGUGCGUGAGGCGCAGCGCGCUCAGGAGCGGCAGGCGCACGCCCGCCGCCUGGUCGCCGUCCCCGUCCCCGCCGGCGAAGGCGGCCGCGCGCAGCACCGUCAGGUUGGCGCCUACGAUGGUGAGGUUGCGCGCGUCGGGCGGCACGUCCCGCGGAGGCUGGCGGAGCUCGGCUCCCGACGCGCAGCGCAGCAGCAGCUUGGGGCCGCCGAAGCAGUAGCACUGGAAGGGGCAGGGUGCCGCGGGCUGGCUCAGCGCCGCCGCCACGAGCAGCAGCCCCUGGAGCCCCGGCUGUCCCGCGCGCGGGGCCAUCGCGGCCGCCCCCGCAUCCAGCGCCCGGGCCGCCGCGCUCACCAGUGAGUUGGGAGCGCCUGGUGGGGGGCACGGGUGGGGCGAGUCCUUGACCCGGAGCGGCUGGCAGUCCCGGUCGGUCCGUUCGCUGUCUCGAAAGUCUGAGGAGCCGCACUUACUGGCUGACUGGCCGGGGGCAAGAGGGGUCAGACGGGGAGCGGAGCCCCCCGCCCCCGGUGCCCUCGCCCUGCGCGCCGGCCUCCGGCUUCCGCGGCCGCUCCGGGCUCCGAGCCGAGUGGGCAGGGUUUGCCUCCCCCCUCCCCGCCUCCCGGUCUCGUCCUCCGCCCCCAGCGGAGUCUCCGCGCCCUCCUCGCCGUGGGAGGCGGGGUGGGAGGCUCCCGAGAAUCAGGGCUGUCGGCUGCUGCGCUUUCUCUUCAUCCUCUCCGCCCCCGCCCCUCCGGGCUGCCGAGAAGUUUGGCUCCUGGAGGCUCCGACUUGGUUUUCCUCCUCCUCCACCCCCAACAUUUAAGCUGGGUCCUUCCUCCUCCUUCUCCAGCACGUGUGGGGCGGGGCCCGACUGCGGAGAGCAGGCAGAACUGGGAAGCUCUAAACCUGAUUUAAAGAGACAGGCUCCUGAGAAGGGAGGAUUCCUGGCCUUAGCAUGAAUUAUUCAGGCUGGAGAGGCUGACACUUGAUCCGCAGGCCAUUCGGGUAUCAGCAGAGCUGGUUGGAAUAGAGGCUCCCCACCUCCUCCCAAGAAUCAGUCUCUUUCUCCUGAAUUGGGUGCUUCCCGUCUAAAUUCUCCUGGAACCAAUUUCUCUCUGUCCAAGUUCCCCAAGGAAUCAAGUCUGCGAGCCAUUGGGGCUGAGGGAUCUCUGUUCUUUGGAGGAACAGCGCUCUCCAUCUUAGAUUUGCCAGUGUUCAGUAUGCAUUAAGUGUUCAAUAAAUGUGUGUCCACUUGAGUCUGAGGCUGUGUGUUUAUUCUCUGAUGCAUCUGGUGGAAGUCUCUUUUCUUGGACUGUUUGCCCCAGCUGGGGUGCUCUCCUCUUGAUUCUGUUUCUCCAGUCCAGUCAGCUGUCCCUCAGGACUUGUGAGUUUUGCCCCCUUCAGGGAGCCCUCAUGGCUUCCCUCUCCAUCCUUUGAACUUCACUGAUCAAUUAGAGGGCUAAGACUCCCCUGAUCUUCUUGACUGUCAGCAGCUAGGGCUCAGGUCUGGUCUAAUUUCUUAGGGAUCAGUACAGAGAAGGCACCAGGGAAUAUUUGCUGACUGAAAUAAUGAUUUAAAAAUCUGUGACUCGAGCCUCUCAUCCCUAUGAGGCAAGCUCGGUGAGGACCCCUCAUCUACACUUCAUACCAGGAGAUAGCUGCUCAGAAAUGUUAAGUGCUUUCCCCAAGGUUGCACACCUGACUGGGACCUGAGCCAGAUAGAAGCUCGGGUUUCUUGCCCAUCUCCUUUGCCGCAGCCCCCCCUCAUCCUAGGAUCCCUCUCUCCUGGGAGUGUGGCUGGGUCAGAUCCCAGGGGAGCCUGUGGGCAAAGAGCUCACGCCCUCAGGGUUUCCUUAGGACUCGGAAGAAGCGAGGCACCCCUCGCCACCCAAGCAGAGUGAUCAUCUGCCCUUUGCCCAGAUGAGUACCCCUCAUGUCAGCCACACUGGAUCUUCACGCUUGCUUGAAUUUAUUACUCCACUAGGUCCCAGAGCCCUUCUCUUAGUAUUCCAAGGUGUUGUCUCUACCUGAGCCUCUAGUGCCUUCGCUGGGCCUUUUCUGCUGGCACAGACCCUGCUGUUGAUCAGCUCCACUAAGCCUUGGUAGGGAGCACAGAGUGUGAUGACGUCCCUGAGAUCACCCAGCAGGUAGCCCCUUCUCCAGCUCUGUUUUGUCAUCAGAGGUGUGUCAAUAUUAUUAAAGUCCUUGGACACACCUCAGUUUCCCUGUCUGCAAAAAAGUGUGUGUGGAUGGGAUGGUCCUGGGGGGCCUAGUAGUCUUGUGCCCCUUGGCAUUUUAGGGAUGGGGGUCAGGGAGGGGAAGGUCAUACUGGGAUUUGCCCAAGUUGGUGCCCCCACCUUCUCAAUAUAUGACCUUGAACUUGGUACCACCCCAAUUAAGGCCUUGGUUGCCCGACUAGAAAGUGGUAGGGGUGGCUGGGUGUGGUGCCUCAUGCCUGUAAUCCCAGAACUUUGGGAGGCCGAGGUGGGCAGAUCACAAGGUCAGGAGAUUGAGGCCAUCCUGGCGAACAUGGUGAAACCCCGUCUCUACUAAAAAUACAAAAAAGAAUUAGCCGGGCGUGGUGGUGGGCACCUGUAGUCCCAGCUACUCAGGGGGGCUGAGGAAGAAAGUGGUAGGGGUGGUCUGGGGUCCUUCUGGAGCGGAUGCUGUAGCAUCCUGAGAUCCAGGCUCCCUUUGUCCUCUGUCCCAGCAGCCCUCCUGCUGCCUUCCCAUCCCUCUGUUCCCCCCUCCUCCAAGGCAAAUGGAGGAGCAGCAGGCGGCCUGACGUGAUGAACUCAGCCACGAGGUAGUGGGGGAGGCCCCAGCUUCUCUCCUCUUGCUUGGCUUCCUUGCCAGCAGGGACGGGAGACUUCACUGUGGGCCUUGCCAUUCCCAUUUCUCACUCCCCCUCCCCUCCCCCACUGCUGUGAGACACAGGAAAAUCCAUAGGCCCAAGAUUCAUUUUCUCCGUUGAGUCAGCAGAGGCCAGCGCUGCUUCUGAGGGGCAGGCAACUGGCUUUUAAAUAACUCUCUGAUAUUUAAUACCCUCCUCCUCCGCUCUGUGGCCUGGGCCUCUGGGGAAAGGCUAGAAUAAAUGAGCUGGAUGCGUCCUCCGAAAGUCCUAAAUGUUCUUACCCCCACCUCAGUCUUCCCCCCAACCCCCAACUCUCAGACCAUUGGAAAAGAUGACUCCUUACUACAUCUGUACCUUGCUUUACAGUUUCUAAGUGGUGGCAGGCUGGGUUUGUUGUCCCAGUUUAGAAUGGGAAAUGGACAUUUAGAAAAGGAGAGAGAUCCCACUUGACUUUUGGUCUUUGUCUGCUGUUGGCUGGCUGUGUGGCUGUGGGCAGGUGGGUCCCUGUCCCUCCCUGGGCUUCUGUUUCCUCAUCUGUGCUGCAAGGUGGUUCGGCCAGUGGGUUGUUGUUGGUCCCCCUUGGCUGUGUAAUGUUAUGAUUUGCUGUGCUGGCCUAGGUCUCCUUCCCUAAUGAAGCCUCUGUUUCUCCACUCCUCUUCAAGGAAAGGCUAAAGGGCAGAGCCGACUGAGGCUAAAGGCCAGCUAAGGUCUGACCCCUAGGAUUCCACUCUGUUGAGUCAGGGACAGGAGUGGGUAGGGGAGAGGGGAAAGGGAAAGGAGCAGAGUUGGGUGCCUUCCCUUCCCUUCCCUUGUCUUCCCUUCCCUCCCCUCCACUCCCCUCCCCUUUCAUUAUUUCUUGCUUUUGCCAGUAGAGGUUGGGACAGACCAAGGGCAAUAACCUGUCUUGGUUCUCUUAAAACCCAAGGUCUCUACCACUGUGGAUGCAGUUUAAUGAGGUGGGAGCAAAACCCUCUUCCUCAGCUGUGCCCAGGCCCAGGAUCCUGAUCAUGGAAGUUAGUGGGCCCAGUUCUCCUGGUUUUGCCACUGUUCUGCAUUAUUCAGAAGACAGGGAUUGAUAUCUCUGUUGGCUAUAUGAGAACACUGGGAGGUUAAGAGCUGUGCUUGGGGUCAUCCCAGAUUAAUGAUGGAACAGGGCCUAUAAUCUAGGUUUUCUGAUUCCCAACUCCGUGUUCAUGCCACUUCCCUGAUUCAGGCAGGAAGUUGGGGCCUGAGGGGUGAGCAUGGGAGAGGCAGCUGGUUCUGUAGGGGUGACCUUUGUUUGCCCAACUUCUUUAGCCUCCUCUUGGGUCCUCAUGCUCUUCUUCAAUGUACUGAGCCUUCUGCUUCUAGAAUCACAGAAUCUUGGAAUCAAAACAUUGACUGCUAAGAACCACAGACUCAGAGAGCCAUAGAACUGUGGUCUCUGAAUUAGAACAAAGACUUAUGGUAUUGGUAGUAUGGUGGUGGUGAAUGAGACACUUAGAGCUUGUGGUAGGUUGUUAAUAUUGAUGGUCCCAAAUGAAUUCUGCGUAUCUGAGUCCAUACUUUUAUGUUGUCCCACCCCAUACUGACUUUGGGUUGGCCGUGUGACUUCCUCUGGUUAAUGAGACGUCAGCAAAUGUGAUGCAAGGAGAGUCUUAAAAAGUGCUUGUGCAUUGGGAUUCACCUCUUCUUGCUCCCCUGAAACUGCCAUGUGUAGGAACACAAGCAUGCCUUUUAGAGGAAGAGACCAGAAGUAAACCAUCCCAGCUGGAGAUGAACCAGCUCCCUGAUGGUCUUCCGCCUGCCUCCAGCCACCUGAGUGACCCCAGAUAAGACCAACAGAACUACUCAGCUGACCCGAGCCCAAAUUUCUGACUCACAGAAUUGUGAACAAAUAAAAUGGUGGUUGUUUUAAGUCACUAAGUUUUGGGGUGGUUUGUUACACAGCAGUAGAUAACGGAUGCAGAACCUCAUCAUUGUAGAAUCUUGGUCAUAGAUCCAAUAUGCCCUGACAGUCACAGCAUCGUGGAACCCCAGGACCAGAAACUGGAACCACUGAUGUAGAAUCCAAGAAACAGAAGAGUCCUGAAAACGCCUUAACUCCCACCCAAUGGUACCCUCUCCUUUCACUGUCAGACCAGGUGACCACUCAUCUUUCAACGUUGAGCCCUCUCCCCACCCACAGGUGUCUCUUAUUCUUUAGCGUUG